CUUAUCCAGGGGCUUAUCUUGAGUGUUGUAAGGGUCUGGUUUAUCUUCCCAGUCCUUCUCCUUUCUCUGCUCCUGGGCACUGCUGGAGUUUCCCCACUGGCUGCUGCCAUCAGAGCCAGCGCUCUUCUGCUUGGGCAGCCAGUAGAACCCAAAAAUCACGAGGAGGAUUUCAGCAAAGGCCCAGAACCACCACUGCUGGCAGGCAGAGAGGAGCAAGCUUUCCUCACUGAGUCUGGUCUGCUCCUGGAUGCUCUUCUCCAUCUCCUUCAGCCAAGCCAUCUCCUGAUUCAGACGCCCCUCAUGCUGCUUCAGGAGCUCUUCCGUGACCUUGACUGACUGGUCAUCCAUCAGCAGCGUGAAUUGUAGGACACCCAGCACCAUGAGGAUUUGGGUGACGCUCAGAGCCAUGGCCUGGAAGAGGAGGAUGGAGAGAAGGGGCUCAGCAGGGCUGAGUGGCAGGGAAAUGGUGGUUACACUGCCAGAUGGGGCACCUGGGGACUUGUCCCCUCUGAUGUCACAGGUGCCAGAGCCCCAUGGUGACCCCACCCUGCCAGCCUGGGCUUUGGAUGGAACUGAGAUGAAACUCAGAUGGAACCAGAGAGUUUAUGACCUUUGGAAGGAGGAGCAGCCACUCAGGAGGACUUCAAGCUGUCGUGGGGUUAUGCAGGGAGAAAACUGGAAGAGCCAAAGCCUGACUGGAAGUUAAUUUGUCCAGUGCUGUAAAAGACUAAAAAAUGUUUCCGUAAGUCCAUUAGCAACAAAAGGAGGGCUCAGGAGAAUCUUCAGCCUUUGCUGGUUGGGAGGAAGCACAGUGACAAAGAAGGAGAAGGAGGAAGAUUCUGAGGCAGAGAAGGGAACUCCCUGACAGCUUCCUUGCAUGCCAUCAGACGUCUCCGACCCUUGAACAGGGCUUUUCACAAUGUACAUUUUGGAUAUAGACUCUUAAAUUCUGCCUAAGCACCACUUUGCAUGAAUAAAUCUCUUUUUUGAACUGAGAA